CUUAUAAGUUAUUUUAAGUAUAUAUAUUAACAUUUUAAUGGUUAUCUAUAUCUAAACUGGCCCCCUUAAUGUUUUAUCUCUCCCUUGGUCAUAUUUCUUACUAUAGAUUUUUAACCAUCAAUAUGUCUCAACUAUUUAAGAGUUUAAAUAUUUACUAUAUGUACUGUUUUUGUCAUCCAUAUGACAUCCAUAUGUUGUCAUCUUGGGGCUAUCCUAUUCGUAGUUGUUAGCUACGGCAUUACAGUCUAGGAUACCCCCAAUAUGACCACAUUGUGCCAACUUUUAUAUACAAAUUAUUAUAUUGCCUAUAUGAAAUGCUUUUUAUAUGUAGAUAGGCUUAAUAAUCAAUUUAAGUUUUUCUAUUUCUACUAUUUACUUGCAAAGUACAUAUUUCAGAGGUUAAUUCCCAAGCCCGCAAACACAAAC